UACGGAGGGGGCUAGCGUUGUUCGGAAUUACUGGGCGUAAAGCGCACGUAGGCGGCUUUGUAAGUUAGAGGUGAAAGCCCAGGGCUCAACCCUGGAAUUGCCUUUAAGACUGCAUCGCUAGAAUUGUGGAGAGGUAAGUGGAAUUCCGAGUGUAGAGGUGAAAUUCGUAGAUAUUCGGAAGAACACCAGUGGCGAAGGCGACUUACUGGACACAUAUUGACGCUGAGGAGCGAAAGCGUGGGGAGCGAACAGG
rnacentral:rRNA from 1 species